rnacentral:misc_RNA from 1 species
AGUCGGUUACGAUCGGUCGGAUCGGUCGGACGUGCUUUCUCUACAAAGGUCUCUUGAAGUUGGUGAGGUGAGAUCUCGUCUUUCUUUCUUUUUUGUGAAGUGUGAGAAGUGAAUGAAAGAACCACCUUUGAUAAGUGUGUGAAGUGGUAACAUUAACAUACCUGGGAGAGUGUGUGUGUGAAUUGUACAAGUUGAUAACAGCGAAGAAAGUUUACGUUUAACGGUUUUUCCCCCUGGACAGAUGACCUUUUGAAGCGCGAAGAAGAGUCCGGGAAUCGUUCUGUUUGUAAACAUCUGCUUUCGUAGGGAAAGACCAGAAUAAGUGGUGAUGAGUGGAAGCUGUUGAUGCUGCUGCUGCUACUAAUCAACAAGUGAAAUACGCGCCAAUUCAGAUUGUCAACUUAAUUAGCAUCCGCAAAAAUCAACUCCCGUGAAGAUGCUGAAGUACAAAUCGCUAGCGCUGCUAGCGGUAACGGCUUGCGCCGUCGGAGUCGCGUACGCCAUCCAGGUCCCGCAGGUCCAGGACCAGCUGAGUCUGGCCAGUACCGAUCGCCAGGAUGUGCUGCCGGCGUACCAGUCGUCGCCGAACGGGUUCACCGGCGCGUCGGAUCAACCGCGGGCGUACCGUCCGGACACGGCCUCGCUGGACUUUGUGUACCACAACCAUGACGACAUGACCCGGUACUUGAGGGCGACCACGGCGAGGUAUCCCAAUUUGACUGCGUUGUACUCGAUCGGCAAGUCCGUGCAGGGUCGUGACCUGUGGGUCAUGGUGGUGUCUUCGUCGCCCUAUGAACAUAUGCUCGGCAAGCCGGAUGUGAAGUACAUCGGGAAUAUUCAUGGAAACGAAGCGGUUGGUCGAGAGAUCCUGCUUCAUUUGAUUCAGUACCUGAUCACGAGCUACACCACCGAUCCGUACAUCAAGUGGCUGCUGGACAACACCCGGAUUCACAUUCUGCCGUCGCUCAAUCCGGACGGUUACGCAGCCUCGAAGGAGGGAACGUGCGACGGAGGUCAGGGUCGGUACAACUCGCGCGGGUUCGAUCUGAACCGCAACUUCCCGGACUACUUCAAGCAGAACAACAAGCGAUCGCAGCCGGAAACGGAAGCCGUCAAGGAGUGGAUCAACAAGAUUCAGUUCGUGCUGAGCGGGUCGCUGCACGGAGGUGCCCUGGUCGCGAGCUACCCGUACGAUAACACGCCCAAUGCCAAGAUCUGUCGAUCUUCGUCGACCUGUGCUGGACCCCUUCUGAGCUCAGUGUUCCACAGCUACGUGUCGCAACCGUCGCUGACGCCGGACGAUGACGUGUUCAAGCACCUGUCGCUGACGUACGCCAACAACCACGCCAAGAUGUCCCGCGGAGUGGCCUGCAAGUCCGCAUCGCCUUCGUUCGAGAACGGCAUCACCAACGGAGCCGCCUGGUACCCGUUGACCGGUGGAAUGCAGGACUUCAACUACGUCUGGCACGGCUGCCUGGAGGUGACACUCGAGGUGUCCUGCUGCAAGUUCCCGCCGGCGUACGAACUGCGCAAGUACUGGGACGACAACCAGCUGUCGCUGAUCAAGUUCCUGGCGGAGGCGCACCGCGGAGUUCAGGGCUUCGUGAUGGACCCGAACGGCAGUCCCAUCGAGAAGGCCCAGCUGAAGAUCAAGGGGCGUGACGUUGGCUUCGCCACGACCAAGUACGGCGAGUUCUGGCGGGUGCUGAUGCCCGGAGUGUACAAGCUGGAGGUGUUCGCCGACGGGUUCGUCCCGAGGGACGUCGACUUCAUGGUCGUCGAGCAACACCCGACGCUGCUGAACGUGACGAUGCAACCCUCGAAGCCAAGCUCCGCCGAGUCGUCCGCGGGUCAGUUGGAGUUGGAGCCGCAGAAGAAGAAACCGUCGUCGGUCGUGGCGCUAGUGCGGAACCCGAUCAGGGGACCCACCGCUUCAACAACAAUUUCUACCAGCACUGCCAGUGAUGCCACGAUCGCGAGUGGGGAGGAGGAAAUUGGUAGCACUACCGUACGGGCAGAACACCAGCCGGAAAAUGGCGCCGGCGAUCAAUUUGUGUUCGCAUAAUCUUGGUUUUGGACUGCAAAAUUAACUCUUCAUUCCGUUUCCAUCUCAAUGUUUCGGAAAAGUCGCAACGACGGUCCCUACUACCGGCCCAUCCAGUCCUCCCAGUCGCAGUAUCGUCCCCAGCUGGCUGCCCCGGCAGCCCAAACCAGCCUCGGCGGCG